CUGAGUUCCAGGAAAGCCUUUGGGAACAGAGGAGGACAAACCGUGUGGUUAUUUUAUCAGCUGCAGUGGAAGCAGAGCAACAUUUUGUGAGUUGCGCUUCCACCCCGGGCUCCGGCUUUGCCUUAAAACCAACAUUUUAAGGGAAUCGAGUUGUCAUCUUCAUUUGGAGAGCUGUCUUCAAAACCCAAGAGACAUUGUUGAAGAAACUGUUAAAUAAGCGUCUUCGCUGGAGAUGUGAACGGAUCAGAAUUGCUUCAUAGAUGUUUAUUUACGAACCUUUGGGUCAUGCGUGCUUCUGGAGUUAUAUGGGAUGCGGACCAGACAUCCUGCUUCGAUUGUAUUGGAGAGGCGGGAUAAAAAUAAAAUUAUAUUAUUAUAUUAUUAUGUUAUAUUCAA